rnacentral:rRNA from 1 species
UACAGAGGGGGCAAGCGUUGUUCGGAAUUACUGGGCGUAAAGGGCGCGUAGGCGGCCUGUUAAGUCGAACGUGAAAUCCCCGGGCUCAACCCGGGAACUGCGUCCGAUACUGGCAGGCUUGAAUCCGGGAGAGGGAUGCGGAAUUCCAGGUGUAGCGGUGAAAUGCGUAGAUAUCUGGAGGAACACCGGUGGCGAAGGCGGUUCUCUGGGCAUGUCCUGACGCUGAGGAGCGAAAGUGUGGGAGGCGAACAGG